UGACUGUGCUAAGGUAGCAUAAUCCCCUGCCUUUUAAUUGAAGGCCAGUAUGAAUGGACAAACGAAAAUAAUCCUGUCUCUGUGUGACACACAAAAUUUUACCUUUAGGUGAAAAGGCCUAAAUUUACUUAAAAGACAAAAAGACCCUGUAGAACCUCACUUAAUCCAACACUAAAGCAUUCAGUUUAACCUUGUUCAUAAAGUCUAGAUGGGGCAUCUAAGGGCCACCAAAAUCGCCCUUUACCUAAAAAAAUUCACACAUUCUGACCCACCAAAGUGACAAUAGAACUCGGCUACCUCAGGGAUAACAGACUAAUCUUCCUUAAAAGCCCAAAUUGACAGGAAGGCUUGGCACCUCGAUGUUGGCUUAGGGCCCCUGGGAGUGCAGCAGCCCCCAAUGGUAGGUUUGUUCAACCUUUAAAACCCUACGUGAUC
rnacentral:rRNA from 1 species